UCCAGGUUUCCAGAAUGCCUUUCCAGGCUAGAACCCAGGCUGUGAUCUGCUGGCCAGACACAACACAAAUUAAUCUCCUACAAGCCGGGAAUGAAGGAACAGCAUGUGAACCUGGUGCCCAUGAAGAUCAGAAGAGGAUGCUGGGCCUGGACUUGUGGAUGGUUAUGUGCUACCAUACUGGCUUUGGUCUCAAUCUCAUGCCAAUCCAGAUGCUGGGAUGUGGGAAGCCUAAGCUGACCUCAGAUUGAGAUCCUGAGUUCUCAGCUACCACACGGCAACUCACAACCAUCUGUAAUGGGAUCUGAUGCCCUCGUCUGCUGUGUCCGAAGAGAGCAGCAGUGUACUCACAUACAUAAAAUAAAGAAAUACAUCUUAAAAGCAAAACAACAACAACAAAACAAACAAACAAAAAAGAAAACCAGCUGCAGGAAGGAAGGCCCUAUUUUUGACAUGAAGGGACCCUGGAGGGUACAACAAUAAAAAGCAGUUCUCUACAGCCUGCAAAGACUGUCAUAGCCAAGCAGGUCCUCAGAAGGACUCAGCUCUGCGUUCCUGCAGUUUUCUGCCUGCUGGGAGCUUGCUCCUUCUCCACUAGCCAGCUACUGCUUCCAGGGUAAUUCGUUUCUGCCUCCACCCCCAGAGCCCUGCGACUCUAUGCUUCAAUACCUGCAAGAGCCAGGAAACCUGCUCCUACUGCUCCUGUCUGGCCCUGCAAAUUUGCUCUGCAAAGGACAGCUAUCAAUUGGCACCCCAAAGGCCCUGAGAACUUUUAGCUGUGACUUAGCCGAGCUAUAGCUUGGCUCUGGAGUAGCUGCCCGUUGUUACUGCUGCUCAUGGAAAAGUCAAACUUGUUUCGUCUAAAUCCCUUGUGGCCAUCUGUUUAAAAGUUGUUAAGAAAUCAGGUGUGGUGGAGCACACUUUUAAUCCCAGCACUCCAGAGGCAGAAGCAGGUGGGUCUCUGAGUUUGAGGCCAGUCUGGUCUAGAGUGAGUUCCAGGACAGCCAGGGCUACAAAGAGAAACCCUGCCUCCAAACCAAACCAAAAAAGUUGUUAAUCCUAAAUUGUUAAUAAAGUGCUUCCUCUUUGUA